UUUUCACUGGUUUCCUGAGCCCUGAGCCGUUAAAUCUACGUGGUACUUACUUUACACAUUAAACCUUCCUUUACACUGAAAUAUUUCAGAACAAAAUGACGGAGUCAGAAGGACAGGACUCAGGCGGAGAUUCAAGACCGUUCAUGUGCGGGGUUGUUGAAGGAUUCUAUGGUAGACCUUGGACUUUAACUCAACGAAAAGAUUUAUUUGAAAAAAUGGAGUUCUGGGGUAUGUGCAGCUAUCUGUACGCACCUAAAGAUGAUUGCAAGCAUAGAGCAUUCUGGAGGGAGCUGUAUACUGUAGAGGAGGCAGAGCAUUUACAGAGUUUAAUAUUAGCUGCUCACGAGUCUAAUGUAAACUUCUACUACGCUAUCUCUCCCGGGCUGGAUAUAGUCUAUUCUAACAGUAAAGAGAUCGGUGCAUUAAAGCGUAAACUGGAUCAAGUAGCACAGCUUGGGUGUAAAUCCUUUGCACUCCUAUUUGACGAUAUUGAGGCAGAGAUGCAAAAACCGGACAAGGAGGCCUUCCAGUCCUUUGCGCAUGCGCAGGUUUCUGUCACAAACGAGAUUUAUCAGCAUCUAGGGCAACCUAGUUUCCUCUUCUGUCCAACACAGUACUGUACUUCUAGAGCUGUUCCUACGAUUGCAACCUCAGAGUACCUGAAGACAAUUGGUAUGAAGCUGGCGUCCAAUAUUGAUAUUAUGUGGACUGGGGAUAAAGUUAUCCCUAAAGAAAUAACCGUGGCAUCCUUGGAACCAAUCACACAAGCGCUCAAGCGUAAAGUAGUUAUCUGGGAUAAUGAACAUGCCAACGAUUACGACCAGCGACGAGUUUUCCUCGGUCCCUACUCCGGUCGUUCCCCAGAUAUAAUCCAGAAACUACGUGGUGUUCUCGCGAACCCUAACUGUGAAUACGGAGCAAACUUCGUAGCAAUCCAUUCCCUGGCUGCCUGGAGUAAGUGUACAGUGGACGGAUGUUCUAGUUUAUCUGCCAACGAUACCGUAUCCUCGGAUAUCAAGUUAGAGCUGGGGAACGGUACAAACGGGGAUUCAGAGGACGUAGUUCCUCCACCACCAGAUAAACUUCCUCCCCACGUAUACCAUCCUAGGAUCGCGCUCAAAUCCGCUAUCAGAGAUUGGUUACCGGAGUUUAAUCGCGUGAAAUCAGUAUGGGGCCCUAUUAGUAAACCCCAGGUUGGGCUGAACCCUACAGGAAUCCUUCAACCUAUUAUUAACACCUGUAUUACCUCCACAUCAACUACUUCAAGUUUAAACCUACCUAUCCCCGCUGCUGUGCUAGUGGGGACUCCUGCUGAUCUACCUAAUCCUAAAUCCUCGAAUCCUGCUGAAGAUUCCUCGACGGAUCUGUCAGGUUUACUUAGCUUAGGUUCGGUUCUCCGUAUUCCUGUGAUGAACUCCCUGGUGUCUACUCAUGAGGUUGUAAUGUUGACAAAUGAUCCCAAAUCGACGCAACCAGAGCCAAUGGAAACAAAUAUUGACGCUGAGGGUUCAGAUCCCGCGGCCGGAUCUAGUCCUGUCUCUAAGGUCACUGACGUCAUAAUGGAAAGCACGACAAACCCUCCGACCCCCGCCGGUAUGCAGGUUGAACCAACGGAUGGCGGGGGAGGUUUGUCCAAGGCGGAGUCGACGACGAUGUUGUGUGAACCUACAAGCCCGGAGAAGGAAGAAUUCAGUAGUAUCGAGGACUUGGAUUCUCUCUCCUAUGACGACCUUCAACUCUUUUGUGAUCUAUUUUAUCUACCAUGCGAGCAUGGACCGACGGCUGUGGAAAUCUUGACGGAGUUCUACUGGUUGAAAACACACGCGGGAGUUAUGCUAGUCUCCGGCUCCGAGGACGGAGAACCCGAGGAUGCAAAACCAGAAUGGGAAUCCCGUCGUGCGCGCUUUAAUGCUCUCCUGGGGAGCAUUAAACGCGCGUUCGACCGACUGUGCAUGGCGCCCAACCGCGAGUUGGUGUAUAAUUUGUAUACCUAUGUAUGGGAUUUAGUUGGAGUCCUUCUCCUUCUAGAAUCCUAUAUAGAUUGGCUGGCUCUAGGGUUCUUCUCUCCUAAAUAUAAACAGUUGGUCAUAGGACGCCACACUUGGUUCUCAGGCAUUAGAGAAGCGUUCCUCUCUGGAGAUCAUGAACCGUAUGUGUUCCGUGGCGGUUUAACCGCCGAUCUACAGCGACUGAUGCCGGUUGACUCAGGGAACGAUUUGUUUAUGUACCAAUAUCCGGACCAUCCUACAAAUAUAGUUUACAAGAUUAGACCAUUUAAGCCCCAGGAUGAAGAAGCUUGCUACAGGAUAGCACUGCAAACCUGGGAGGACGGGAUGGACGCUACUCAGUUCUACUCCACCCAUCCUAGAUUAGUAGGGGAGAAGUCAAUUGGACCCUUCAUUAGUUUUUACUCCAACUUUGGAUUCGUGUUCGAGAACAGUGUCGGAGAAAUCGUUGGUUACAUAUUUGCUGCGACGGAUAUAAAAGAGUUCUAUCAGCGUGUGAAUAUUGCCUGGCUCCCGGAGAUGAGAACUAAAUACCCUAAGGUUGAGUGGAGUGAAGGAGAACUACCAACCCCCUGUGAAACCACAAUAAACUCCUUCCAUCAAUCUGACCCUGUUGUCCCACCUGGCCUGGAUACCCCUGAAGCCUGGGCGCUGGUGAGGAUUGCAUAUCUACCGUCAAUAUCAGAUUCAAGUCUGGCCAGCAGAGCAACCAUGCUCGUCCUCGCCUGUCUCAGAACAUCUGGAGUUCUAAAAGCGUUAGCAGAGGUUCCGAAAAAGGAAAAAUAUGUUCAAGAAGUUUACUCAAAAAUAGGUUUCGCAGCUUUAACUGAGACCGGGAGCGGAGGACAACCCUCUAAUGAUAUCUCAGAUGAUUAUGUUUACAUGUCGAGAAGAUACUAAACAUGAUUAUAAACACCAAACAGAGGACAUUAUUCAUUAUGCAUGGAACAACUUAUUUCCAUAAUACAGGUGCUCAUCAUUUAUAUUAAGACAGAAAUAAGACUACAAGCUAUACUGCUUCUUUCUUUACAUUUUCUACCCCCGGGCUUUACCAGCUAACAGACGCAUUUUUAAUAUUAUUUUCUUCUAUUGUCAAAAUGAAGAACGUACAUUUAAUCUUCCUUAAGUUGUCUUUACUGUGUUGAUACAGAUGUCGACCACUGUACAUGUGAACCUAUAUUGAAUCGAUAAACCAGUCUAUAAUAUAUCUAUGUCAAAAUCCAGUCAAUUUUAACUUCUGUUCAAAUUCUUAAUUUUCUACUUGACAUAUCUAAGCUACUGCCCCCACACCCCUAUUAUAUUCGUAUGGUUAAAAGAAUGCUAAGUUAGAUCUCCUACUAUUAAGUUUUUUUUUAUUAACUGCCCCCCCACCCUCCCCAAAACCAGUUAUUUUAUUUAAUAAAAAAGUUAAGGAUGGGGGCCCCUGGUACUCCCCUUGUCAAACUUUUCCUAGACUCUGAAGGCAUUAAAGUAUACGCUAGGUAGAUAGAGAAAAUUCAAGGGUUCGGACAGAAAUAUAAUUUUUCAUGUCCCCCCUUUUACUUCGCACUAUUUACUACAGCUUGUCAUUUACACUAUGUUAUGAUCUGUUUUUGUAAAAUAAACUUUCCUUUAAGGUUU
rnacentral:misc_RNA from 1 species